AUUGAACGUUGGCGGCAUGCCUUACACAUGCAAGUCGAACGGCAGCACGGGGGCAACCCUGGUGGCGAGUGGCGAACGGGUGAGUAAUACAUCGGAACGUGCCCAGUAGUGGGGGAUAGCCCGGCGAAAGCCGGAUUAAUACCGCAUAAGACCUACGGGUGAAAGCGGGGGAUCGCAAGACCUCGCGCUAGUGGAGCGGCCGAUGUCAGAUUAGGUUGUUGGUGGGGUAAAGCCUACCAAGCCGACGAUCUGUAGCUGGUCUGAGAGGACGACCAGCCACACUGGGACUGAGACACGGCCCAGACUCCUACGGGAGGCAGCAGUGGGGAAUUUGGACAAUGGGCGCAAGCCUGAUCCAGCCAUGCCGCGUGCGGGAAGAAGGCCU
rnacentral:rRNA from 1 species